UCUCGGUUACCCGAGCAGUUUCGUUUGACACUUGAAACAAACGAUAAGGGUUGCGCUCGUUGGAGGACUUAACCUUACAUCUCACGACACGAGCUGACGACAACCAUGCAGCACCUGUCAUAGGGUUCCUUGCGGCACUCCUCCGAUUAAGGAGGAUUCCCUAGAUGUCAAGUCCUGGUAAGGUUCUUCGUUUUGCGUCGAAUUAAACCACAUGCUCCACCGCUUGUGCGGGUCCCCGUCAAUUCCUUUGAGUUUUAGUCUUGCGACCGUACUCCCCAGGCGGGAUACUUGACGCGUUAGCUGUGACUACUGACGGGGUCGAUGCCGCCAAUAGCUAGUAUCCAUCGUUUACAGCGUGGACUAC
rnacentral:misc_RNA from 1 species